GACGAACGCUGGCGGCGUGCUUAACACAUGCAAGUCGAACGGGCCCGCUCUCUUUUUUGGGGGUGGGUUGAGUGGCGAACGGGUGAGUAUCACGUGAGUAACCUGCCCCCUGCUCCUGGAUAACUGCUUGAAAGGGCGGCUAAUACGGGGUGUGCCGGCUGGUCCGAAUGGGCCUGGUCGGGAUAGUUUCAUCUUCGGGUGUUUCGGUGGGGGAUGGGCUCGCGGCCUAUCAGCUUGUUGGUGGGGUGAUGGCCCACCAAGGCGGUGACGGGUAGCCGGCCUGAGAGGGUGGGCGGCCACACUGGGACUGAGACACGGCCCAGACUACUGCGGGAGGCAGCAGUGGGGGGGAUUGCACAAUGGGCGGAAGACUGAUGCAGCGACGUCGCGUGAGGGAUGGAGGCCUUCGGGUGGUGAACCUCUUUCUCCGGUGGCGAAGGCCCUGUCCGUUGCGGCGGGGUUGACGGUAGCCGGGGAUGAAGCGCCGGCUAACUACGUG
rnacentral:rRNA from 1 species